GCAGCUUGCUGCUUUGCUGACCAGUGGCGGACGGGUGAGUAAUGUCUGGGAAACUGCCCGAUGGAGGGGGAUAACUACUGGAAACGGUAGCUAAUACCGCAUAAUGUCGCAAGACCAAAGAGGGGGACCUUCGGGCCUCUUGCCAUCGGAUGUGCCCAGAUGGGAUUAGCUUGUUGGUGAGGUAACGGCUCACCAAGGCGACGAUCCCUAGCUGGUCUGAGAGGAUGACCAGCCACACUGGAACUGAGACACGGUCCAGACUCCUACGGGAGGCAGCAGUGGGGAAUAUUGCACAAUGGGCGCAAGCCUGAUGCAGCCAUGCCGCGUGUAUGAAGAAGGCCUUCGGGUUGUAAAGUACUUUCAGCGGGGAGGAAGGGGUUAAGGUUAAUAACCUUAGCCAUUGACGUUACCCGCAGAAGAAGCACCGGCUAACUCCGUGCCAGCAGCCGCGGUAAUACGGAGGGUGCAAGCGUUAAUCGGAAUUACUGGGCGUAAAGCGCACGCAGGCGGUCUG
rnacentral:rRNA from 1 species